rnacentral:piRNA from 1 species
UGCUUCAUUUGCAGGAGACAUGGGA